rnacentral:rRNA from 1 species
CCGCCCGUCACACCAUGGGAGCUGGUAAUGCCCGAAGUCGGUUUUGUUAACUACGGAGACAACUGCCUAAGGCAGGACCGGUGACUGGGGUGAAGUCGUAACAAGGUAUCCCUACGAGAACGUGGGGAUGGAUUACCUCCUUU